rnacentral:rRNA from 1 species
UUGACCUCAAAUCAGGUAGGAAUACC